AAAAAGCAACAUUUCCUCUCCAGACGGAUGCGGUGCUGCUGGGUCUUAAAGACUGCCCUCUGCCCAGAAUCCAUUUUGGGCAACAAAGAAUGGGACUCCAAGCUGACUGCUAACAGCCUGAGCAUGAGACACAUCCACUGAAUGUUCUGAAUUCACUCUUCCUCUCCUCAUUACUGAGAGCCAGAUUCCGUUAUCUACAGGAUGAGGUGGGAAACAUUUCAACCAGGAAAAUUCUUUCCCAGGGAAAGGGCAGAGAGCUCAGAUGUUAGAAUAUUAAUGCCACUGGAGCCACAAUGACAUUUUAACACUUGAGGUUUCAAAAUAGAAGCAGAAACUCCCUGAGGUCUUAGCCUUCCAUUUGUCAAAAUCACUAGUAAAGAUCUUAAGUGAGAUAAACAAAAGCUAUGCAAUCACAACUUAACUG
rnacentral:lncRNA from 1 species